rnacentral:rRNA from 1 species
UACGUAGGGUGCGAGCGUUAAUCGGAAUUACUGGGCGUAAAGCGUGCGCAGGCGGUUGGUUAAGUCUGAUGUGAAAGCCCCGGGCUCAACUUGGGAACUGCAUUGGAAACUGGCCAGCUGGAGUGUGGCAGAGGGGGGUGGAAUUCCGCGUGUAGCAGUGAAAUGCGUAGAGAUGCGGAGGAACACCGAUGGCGAAGGCAGCCCCCUGGGCCAACACUGACGCUCAGGCACGAAAGCGUGGGGAGCAAACAGG